rnacentral:rRNA from 1 species
UACGUAGGUGGCAAGCGUUUGUCCGGAUUUAUUGGGUUUAAAGGGUGCGUAGGCGGUCUUCUAAGUCAGUUGUGAAAUACUUCAGCUUAACUGGAGAGGUGCAAUUGAUACUGGAAGACUUGAGUACUGAUGAGGUAGGCGGAAUGGACGGUGUAGCGGUGAAAUGCUUAGAUAUCGUCCAGAACACCGAUAGCGAAGGCAGCUUACUAAGGAGUAACUGACGCUGAGGCACGAAAGUGUGGGGAUCAAACAGGA